rnacentral:piRNA from 1 species
UGCCAAAAGGCCAGACCUGGAUGUCUUCAU